rnacentral:rRNA from 1 species
AACACAUGCAAGUCGUACGGGAUCGGGGGCAACUCCGGUUCAGUGGCGAACGGGUGCGUAACACGUGAGAAACUUUUCCAACGGUGGGGGAUAGCCGGCCUAACGGCCGGGUAAUACCGCGUACGCUCUUCCGGGGGCAUCCCUGGGAGAGGAGAGCAGCCGCAAGGUUGCGCCGGUGGAGAGUCUCGCGGCCUAUCAGCUAGUUGGCGGGGUAAUGGCCCACCAAGGCGACGACGGGUAGCUGGUCUGAGAGGAUGGCCAGCCACAUUGGGACUGAGACACGGCCCAGACUCCUACGGGAGGCAGCAGUGGGGAAUAUUGCGCAAUGGCCGAAAGGCUGACGCAGCGACGCCGCGUGUGGGUUGACGGCCUUCGGGUUGUAAACCACUGUCGGGAGGGACGAAUGACGGACGGCGAAUGGCCGAUCCGGCGCGACGGUACCUCCAGAGGAAGCACCGGCUAACUCCGUGCCAGCAGCCGCGGUAAUACGGAGGGUGCGAGCGUUGUCCGGAAUCACUGGGCGUAAAGGGCGCGUAGGCGGUUCGUUAAGUCGUUGGUGAAAUCCCGGGGCUCAACUCCGGGGCGGCCGACGAGACUGGCGGGCUGGAGCACGGUAGAGGCAGAUGGAAUUCCCGGUGUAGCGGUGGAAUGCGUAGAUAUCGGGAAGAACACCAGUGGCGAAGGCGUUCUGCUGGGCCGUUGCUGACGCUGAGGCGCGACAGCGUGGGGAGCAAACAGGAUUAGAUACCCUGGUAGUCCACGCCGUAAACGAUGGACACUAGGCGUCGGGGGGAGCGACCCUCCCGGUGCCGUCGCUAACGCAGUAAGUGUCCCGCCUGGGGAGUACGGCCGCAAGGCUGAAACUCAAAUGAAUUGACGG